UACGGAGGGUGCGAGCGUUGUCCGGAAUCACUGGGCGUAAAGGGCGCGUAGGCGGCUCCGGCAGUCUGUGGUGAAAGCCCAGGCUCAACUCUGGGUCGGCCACGGAUACUCCGGGGCUGGAGCACACUAGAGGCGGAUGGAAUUCCGGGUGUAGCGGUGGAAUGCGUAGAGAUCCGGAAGAACACCGGGUGGCGAAGGCGGUCCGCUGGG
rnacentral:rRNA from 1 species